CCUACGGGCGGCAGCAGUGGGGAAUAUUGGACAAUGGGCGAAAGCCUGAUCCAGCCAUGCCGCGUGUGUGAAGAAGGCCUUCGGGUUGUAAAGCACUUUCAGUGGGGAAGAAAGCCUUGGGGCUAAUACCCUCGAGGAAGGACAUCACCCACAGAAGAAGCACCGGCUAACUCCGUGCCAGCAGCCGCGGUAAUACGGAGGGUGCGAGCGUUAAUCGGAAUUACUGGGCGUAAAGCGCGCGUAGGCGGUCUGAUAAGCCGGUUGUGAAAGCCCCGGGCUCAACCUGGGAACGGCAUCCGGAACUGUCAGGCUAGAGUGCAGGAGAGGAAGGUAGAAUUCCCGGUGUAGCGGUGAAAUGCGUAGAGAUCGGGAGGAAUACCAGUGGCGAAGGCGGCCUUCUGGACUGACACUGACGCUGAGGUGCGAAAGCGCGGGUAGCAAACAGGAUUAGAUACCCCAGUAGUC
rnacentral:rRNA from 1 species